UCCGGCUUAUCACCGGCAGUCCCUUUAGAGUGCCCAACUAAAUGAUGGCAACUAAAGGCGAGGGUUGCGCUCGUUGCGGGACUUAACCCAACAUCUCACGAUACGAGCUGACGACAGCCAUGCAGCACCUGUCUCCGCGCCCCUUGCGGGGACCACCCAUCUCUGGGCUUAGCGCGGGAUGUCAAACCCUGGUAAGGUUCUGCGCGUUGCGUCGAAUUAAACCACAUGCUCCACCGCUUGUGCGGGCCCCCGUCAAUUCCUUUGAGUUUCAACCUUGCGGCCGUACUCCCCAGGCGGGAUGCUUAAUGCGUUAGCUGCGCCACCGAACAGCAAGCUGUCCGACGGCUAGCUUCCAUCGUUUACGGCGUGGACUAC
rnacentral:misc_RNA from 1 species